GGGGAAAAAUGUGCUUUUUUUUUUUUUUUUUGCAUUUCUAACUAGGGGCAGAACAGAUGGUGACGGUAAAGUUUAAAACAACACAUCCGUUAAACUCUGCCAGCCUCUCUCUGCAGCUUGCCAGGAGGGAAACAACUUGGAGGCAGAGCUCCUGCUGCUGCUGUUGUUCACCAACGAGUGAGAAUAUGAACCGAGGGCAUUAAUAGGAGGCCCAGAGAACUGGGGUCACAAAAGUCGCCCCACUUGACACUCCUCCUCCUCCUCCUUGGGAACAUGUUUCAACCAUGAAGCACGUGCAGUUCAUUUGCACCAGAACCAGACGAAAGAUCUCUGAAUCCGGACUCCUUCCUAAAUACCUUGUUUUCCCAAGUCAUCUUGUUCUAAGACCGUGAACCUUUGCUUGCGUUAUCUGAGCUGACUUCUAACAGCCGGAAACUUCAAAGAGGAAUAUCUUCCAGGAAGAAAAGGUUUCUCUUUCCGAUGUCACGAGAGGCAAGUUCUCUGAAAGUACUGCAUUUCCCCACCUCAGGGAAAUCAACUUGCGAAGGGAAAUUGAAGCCAAAGGAGGGGCACCUUAUUAAGAAAAUAACUGCUUUGGAUAAGUGCUCGAAGCAAAGGCUUGUGUUCAAAACACUUUCCCAGAGAAAUACCAAUGCUGCCAUCGAAAUCGUUCCUUUAAUUAGCCGGAUGUCACCAGGUAACAUCUUUGUUAUACUAGAGACGUGUUUUACUGGGAGAAAGCUUACCGUUGUGGGGACAUUUAGAACAGUUCACUUGACUAAAUUAGGGACCUGUUCGAUUUCUAAUCUCUUUUUAGUCUAAUGCUAUUUAAGUCUUCUCCGGCAAAGUGUCACCAUCCAAACUGGACAUUUUGCCUUGAAAAGAAAAUGAAUGUCAAAUCUGGAUUUCUUGGAAACUGAAUUAGUCCACCUCCUUCGCCCUGUGGCCGGUCUCAAAUGCCAUCCCCUUGUUAACCGUUAUAUAAUUACUGCCACUGAACUCCAACUGGUAAUAUAAUUGUUUAUAUUACACUAUAAAUUAUAUUCAUUCCAGCCCAUGAGCUUCGAUGACUGGAUUCCACUGCGUCGGAUGCUUCAUUAUAUUCUUUGUGCUCUUUAUAAUCGCCCUCUCGCACUGCUUUCAACUUUCUUUGCGGUAAGUAACCACUCACUGGGCUUCAUUCUCCGCGCUCUUUCCACCGACUUAAACUCCCUCCCCCUUCGCCCGAUAGAUCACCGCUCUCCCCAUCUGCCUGGUCCUUCUGAAAAAAAUCACAUCUCCUCCAGGAAGUCUUCCGGGAUUACUCUCAUCUCUCCACUCUGUUAUAGCGUAUCCUUCCAAGCUCUUAAGUCCAGUGCUGGGCACAUAGUAAGCGCUCGGUAAAUUCCACUGAUUGAUGGAUUUCUCGGGCCUUCGCUGUCUGCUUUCCCCGUUAGAUUGUAAGCUCUUUGAGAACAUCGACGGGGUGCGUUGACAACUACUGUGCCCUCCCCAAGCACUUAGUAUGGUGCCGAGCACUCAGAUACUCAUUUGAUUCCCCCCGCUCGACUGAUUGCAAUCAAAUGUGGUGAAAUUAACCCACGGGGUUGGGGCUACCUGAAAAGAUCAGUGUCAGCCAGUCGUAUAUAAGCCACUGUACUAAGCGCUUGGGAGAGUCCACUAUAACGAUAUAACAAACACAUUCCCUGAUAACGAUAUCCCCAACCUCUGCUUCAUGAGGUGGUUUCUUGAGAGCCUCUCCUUCCAGCGCCCACUCUCAACCGGUCGUAAAAUACGGCAUCGCCGAUUAAUAGGCCGGGCCAUAAUGGGCCAAAUAGAAUCUUUAUGGCUCGUCGAAUAAAUAAUCAUUAUUCAAAGGGAAAUAAAUAAAAGCCCUCCCUUCACAGCAAGGGGAAUUGCUAUUUCACGAAUCCACUCGACCCACCACCAGCCCGUCUGGUGGGUGAUGAGGGAGAGCCAAGACGCCCAAGGAAUGCAGUGCGAUUGGUGCGUUCCCACGGUGAACUCGUUCCUGUGAUUCGUCGGGCCGCGCUGGCCGAUCCGCUGCUCUCGGCCUGGCUACCCCGUGGCGUUUCAUGGGGGCUCUGGGCGUUUCCUUCCGUGUGAAAAAUGGAGAGGAAUUAAUUUCCCUUUCACCUCGGGCCAAUGUGUUUUCAG
rnacentral:lncRNA from 1 species